GCAUGUGUUUAAUUCGAAGAUACGCGCAGAACCUUACCAACACUUGACAUGUUCGUCGCGCUCUAAGAGAUUAGAGCUUUCGGUUCGCCGGACGAAACACAGGUGCUGCAUGGCUGUCGUCAGCUCGUGUCGUGAGAUGUUGGUUAAGUCCCGCAACGAGCGCAACCCUCACUUUUAGUUGCCAUCAUUUAGUUGGGCACUCUGAAAGAACUGCCAGUGAUAAGCUGGAGGAAGGUGGGGAUGACGUCAAGUCCUCAUGGCCCUUACGUGUUGGGCUACACACGUGCUACAAUGGCAUUUACAAUAGGAAGCAAGAUGGCGACGUCAAGCAAAUCUUAAAAAGAUGCCUCAGUUCGGAUUGUACUCUGCAACUCGAGUACAUGAAGCUGGAAUUACUAGUAAUCGCGGAUCAGCGCGCCGCGGUGAAUACGUUCCCGGGUCUUGUACACACCGCCCGUCACACCAUGGGAGUUGGUUCUACCUUAAGGCAAGGUUUAAAACCCUUGACCACGGUAUAGUCAGCGACUGGGGU
rnacentral:rRNA from 1 species